AAGUCGUAACAAGGUAACCGUAGGUGAACCUGCGGUUGGAUCAUUAACAAAAUGAUAAAAGCCCGGAACUUAAAACCUUCCGGCUUUUAUAAACACCAUGUGAACUGUAAUUGUAUCUGGUGGGUUAAAAGAGGGGAGAUUUAUUUACGAAUAUCCCUUUGGUCUUUUUUUAAUAAAAGGACAACCCACCGUUAAAAUUUAUCAACUUGUAAUCUUGAACUUGAUUGUUUAUUGAAAUUUAAUUUUUAAAUUAAACAACUUUUGACAACGGAUCUCUAGGCUCUC
rnacentral:misc_RNA from 1 species